GGGGACACGGCAGCUGGGCGGGGACACAGCGGCCUUGGGUUUGGGCUCCAGCCCCAGCCGGGCCCCCUCGCGCCGCUGCGGCUGCUGCGCGGUGAGGUCGUGACAAGUCACAGCUAACUUGCCCUCCGCGCCAUUCCACGCCACCAGGAAGCGCAGCCGGUGCCUCUCGGCAUCGGCGAAGAGGCCUUGCCGGACCGGCGCCCAGCCCUCCAGGCUGUCGAGCUGCUCGUCCUCCAUGGCCGUCGGCGGCAGCGGCCCUAGGACUCGGCGGGCGCGGGCCUGACCUCGUCGCACUGCCUGUCAGGGGACAGUCCCAGGCAUAACUGAAGGUGAAAGGACAGAAUCACCGUGUGUUACUGGCACAGAUGCAUCGGCUAGUGAAGAAAGAAGACAUUCAAACUAGUCCCGCUCUGUCGCCCAGUCUGGAGUGCAGCAGCGCCAUCAUAGCUCACUGCCACCUAGAAGCCGGGGUGAAGCAAUCCUCCUCCAUCAGCCUUCAGAGUAGCUGGGACUACCUGCGCGGCCCACCACACCCGGCUAAUCUUUGUGGUUUUUGUUUUGUUUUCCGUUCUGGGUUUCCGUCGGGCGCAGUGGCUCAGGCCUGCAAUCCCAGCACUUUGGAAGGCAGAGGUGGGCGGAUCACCCGAGGUCGGAGACCGGCCUGACCAACAUGAAGAAAUCCCGUCUCUACUAAAAAAAAGAAAAAAACUACAAAAUUAGCCGGAUAUGGUGGCUCAUGCCUGUAAUCCCAGCUACUAGGGAGGCCCAGGCAGGAGAAUCACCUAAAUCCGGGAGGCCGAGGUUGCGGUGGGCAAAGAUCACACCAUUGCACUCCAGCCUGGACAACAAGGGUGAAACUCCGUCUCAAAACAGAGACCGGGUUUCACCAUGUUGCCCAGGCGGUCUGGAACUCCUAGGCUCAAGCGAUCUGCCACACUCGGCCUUCCAAAGUCCUGGGAUCACAAGGGGGAGGCACCACGCCAGGCAGAUCUAUUCCUUUCUGGUUACUAAAUUGGACCGGGGGCGCGGUGGCUCACGCCUGCAAUCCCAGCACCCAGGGAGGCGGAGGCGGGCGUAUCACUCGAGGUCAGGAGCUCGAGAUCAGCCUGACCAACACGGAGAAACCCCGUCUGUACCAAAAAAAUAAAACCAAAAUUAGCUGGCAUGGUGGCUCAUGCCUGCAAUCCCAGACACUCAGGAGGCUGAGGCAGGAGAACCACCUAAACCCGGGAGGUGGAGGCCGCGGUGAGUCGAGACCACGCCACUGCACUCCAGCCUGCAAAACGAGCGAAACUCCACUCAAAAAAAAAAAAAAAAAAAAGACAGUGUUUCACCACGUUGCCCAGGCCGGUCUGGAAGUCCUAGGCUCAAUCGAUCGCCGCGCUCGGCCGUCCACAGUACUGGGAUCACAAGCAUGAGCUACCACGCCAGGCCGAUCUAUUCCUUUCUGGUUACUAAAUUGGACCGGAGGCGCGGUGGCUCACGCCUGCAAUCCCAGCACCCAGGGAGGCGGAGGCGGGUGGAUCACCCGAGGUCAGGAGCUUGAGAUCAGCCCGGCCAACACGGAGAAACCCCGUCUGUACAAAAAAAAAAAACACCAAAAUUAGCUGGCAUGGUGGCUCAUGCCUGCAAUCCCAGCCACUCAGGAGGCUUAGGCAGGAGAACCACCUAACCGGGAGGUGGAGGCCGCGGUGAGUCGAGACCGGAAAACACUCUAGCCUGGAAAACAAGAGCGAAACUCCGCUCAAAAAAAAAAAAAAAAAAAAAAAAAAAAAAGACCGUGUUUCACCAUGUCGUCCAGGCUGGUCUGGAACUCCUAGAACCUGUAGAUGUUACCUCAUUUGGAAAAAGCAUAUUUUCAGGUAUGAUUAAGUUAAGGAUCUUGAGGAGAGAUUAUCCUGGAUUGUCUCCGUGGGCAUUAAAUCCUGGCACAUAUAUCCUUAUAAGAGGGAGAUAAAGGAGAUUUAACUUCAGACAGAAGAGAAGGAGGCCCUGUGACCAAGAAGGCAGAGCCUGGAGUGGUGGAGCUGCAAGCCAAUGAAUGCCAGCAGCCAUCAGAAGCUGCGCAAGUCAAAGGAUGGAUUUUCCCCUCAGCCUCUGAGAGCACUGGCUCUGCUGAGACCUAGAUUUCAGCCCAGUGAUACUGAUUUUGGACUUCUGAUAUCCAAAACUGUGAGAAAAUAAAUUUCUGUUGUUUUAAGUCA